CGUCAACUGUCAACAUUCGGGAACUUCCGGUUGUGGUCUUGCUUCACUUUCUUCAUCUCUCUCAAGUUCAAGAUCAAAGAAGAAACAGCGGACAGUGCAAGAUGACUUUCUUUCAAGAGUUGAGGCCUCUGCUAAAGCCUCAUUACAUAUCGAACUUACUCAUUGCAGUUCUUUAUUUCAUUUUGAAGAGCACUCCCGGUGUGUGUGAAACGUUAUUCCGCUCCUGCCAGUUAGAAUUGAGGGAAUACGAAUGGCUCACUUUCCUUGCUUGUGUUGUGGUGUUGAAAAAUCGAAAGCAAGGCAACAUUGAGGAGUAUGUCUCGACGGCUUGUUUGUUCACCAAGGCUCUCAGCACUAUCUGCUUUUUCAACUACAGCAUCUCCUACGGACUCUUGUACAUUUUGCUAUGUUUAGCUCAUGUGAUGUUCCUGCCUAAGCCAGUGUACAUGGGGCCUGAGAGCAUCGUCUACUUCAGGGGGCCCAACUUGUGUGAAGAGAUUGAAAGAGACAGGAAAGUGACAUGGCUCAUCACGUUCUUUGUGGCGUGGUCCCCCAAAUGCGUCACGUUUGCUCCAGUCUUCUCAGAGUUGUCGCAUGGGUACAGUUUGGACAACCUCAAGUUUGGCAAAAUCGACGUGUCGCGCUACCCGGAGAUUGCCGAGAAAUAUAACAUCAACAUUGGGGCGCUGUCGAGGCAGUUGCCCACGGUGAUUUUGUUCCAGGAGGGCAAGGAGAGUGAGAGGAGGCCAGUACCCACCAAACACAUGACCUUGAAGUUUGACUUCACUAAGGAGAAUGUACUGAGGGAGUUCCAGCUGAACGACGUCUACCACGAGUGUAAGAAGGCGCUCUCGGCCAGGAAGAAAGACAAGGCACAGGACAAGAAGGAGCAGUGAUCUCAGACGCGUUAUAUGUCUAGUUUUAUAUAUAUAUAGUUGUCUGACUUUGUAUGAAAACUUAAUCAAGGAUCUUCGGGAGUGACUGUUGAGUGUGGGUCGUGGGUUACACAAGGUCGUGGGUCAUGGGUGACACAAGGUCGUGGGUCAUGGGUGACACAAGGUCAUGGGUCAAGGGUGACACAAGGUCAUGGGUCAAGGGUGACACAAGGUCGUGGGUCAAGGGUGACACAAGGUCAUGGGUCAAGGGUGACACAAGGUCAUGGGUCAUGGGUGACACAAGGUCGUGGGUCAUGGGUGACACAAGGUCGUGGGUCAUGGGUGACACAAGGUCGUGGGUCAAGGGUGACACAAGGUCGUGGGUCAAGGGUGACACAAUACUCUGGUUUUGUAUGUCAUGGUGCUGCAGAACUUUUUUUUUUGCUGGAUUUUUAUGAUUGGAGGUAUUAAAUGUGUUCAAAUUUUGAAUGUUGAGUCGUAGUUGUGUACGUGUUUCUCAAAUGUGUGUGAAUGUCAGGUAAACAAGAGGUUAUAGCGGGUGUUGAUGGCCUAGGCUCCACUGGGAGUUAGGAAGGGCAAGAGAGAGAGAGAUACUGAGUGUUGAUGGCCUAGGCUCCACUGGGAGUUAGGAAGGGCAAGA
rnacentral:misc_RNA from 1 species